AUUCCCUAUUUCCUAAGCCUACAGUUGAGCAUUAGUGCACCACUUCAUCUAAUUUGAUCAUUGAUUUCAAAAUUGCAGACUUGGGAAAGGUAAAGCCAAAGGCCACCUAGUCAAGUCUCUCUCUUUCCCAUUAUUUCUCCAUGGAUGCCUUUGAGAUUCAAUUAAAUAAGUGAAAUUAAGGCCCAACCGUUCUUUCUUCAUCUACGCCGCUACUGCUACUCCUCCUUUCUCCGCCGUUGCUUUCCUCGCCGGUGCGGAUUGACGAGACGAUGAAUAUUCGCGGCUUCUCCUCUUCGUUCCGCUAGCUCUUUGUUUCCUUGGAUCUGGCUCCUUGAUGCUUCAACUUGCAGUUUCAUGUUCUUCCACUGUGGCUCUCUUCCGAUCGCGACUACGCCCCACUCUUGUCUUGGAUCAACGGUUUGAUCGUUCAUCUUCUUCGAAUAGACCUAUCAAGAUGCAAACUUUUUUUUUCUUUGGAGGUGAUUAGGAACAAUGGAUGUGUUGAAUCUAGGUUCUUCUUGUUUCCGAUGGGUUUUCUUGUUCAGUUAACUGCUUUAUGUAAUGUUUUUGUUCAAGAAUUUUGUUUUACUGAACAUCUUCUGGGAUCUGGUUGAGGUUGCUCUUCUCUCUUUUUUUCUUGCUCCUCUGCUUAGUGACGGCUAGAAUCGCCCUUAACCGCCUGUACAACCUGCCACCGCCAUUACCCGGACCCGACAAAACCGUUCUAGUUCAUGGUCGACAUCGGGUGAAGCUUUGAACAUGUUGGUUUGGGCAAAAUGAGCCCGAAACCGACCAAACCCACCCGAUGCUCACCCCUAAUUUUUUUUUUUGCAAUCGGUGGGUUGAUUGAAAGUUUAUCGGCUGUGGGAGGUGCAGAGCUGUGUUUGGCCAUUAUUUGUGAGGUUAUUGGUGUUUUGGGGUCGUGGAGUGUAGCAGCGGUGGGGGAUUGGGCGGUGGGUGUGUUGGUUAUGGGUGAGGACCUUGAUAUAGCUGGUUCUGGGUGAAAGCGUGGUAGUGUUGUGUGUGCUUAUGCUGCACUGCAUCAUACUCUGUUGUUAAAGUUUCCUCUUUGUUUUGUUUGCUGUUUUUGGACUUUGUUUCCUUUUCCUUUGUACUAUCUUUUAGCAUUUCUUGUGCCGUUUAUUAUAUAUAUUAUAAUAAUGAAGCAUAUAAUGAAAAUCAAUUAAAAUAAUUCUAUAACAAUUAAAACCAAAAACGUAACUCAAAUAGAAACCUUAAAAUAAAAACUCACAAAAAUGCAAAUUUUUGGAGUUUACCUAAUAGAAGAGAGAACUUUUCUCACUUCCACUAAUCCUCCUCAAAAACCAAUUGCAUAAUUUAAAGCUUCUUCAACACAUAUAUGAGCCUUGAGAAAAGAAUGUUAGCACAAUAGCAGUGAUAACACAAUAUUAAAACAAAGAUAAGCCAUUGAAAUGAUAGACAAAUAUUGAGUUAUUUAUGCUCGGGGUCCCUAAACUAUGGUCGGAAAUCGGGAUACGUCCCUAAACAAAAUUUUCUUUGGUUGCCAUCCUUUAACUUAAUUAACAGGUCGGGUCUCAUCCCUUUACCGGUUGGGGUGCUCACAUGGCACAGGUAAGUGCUGACAUGUAGGUUGUAAUUGUUUUUUUUAUUUUCUUUCCCACCUAACUUAAUUAAUUUAAUUUUUCUUAUUUCUCCCGCUAAUUUACAUUGCAGAAAUGCUUUUCAUCCUCAUUCUAACUAAACCUAAAUUGGUAACCUUCAUUCCUCUCUUGCUUUCUCCGCCGACUGCAUCCUUUCUCCGCCGACUGCUUCCUUUCUCUGUCGGCGCCUUCCAUUCUCCGUCGUCGUCGUCUUCAUCGUGCUCGGCGUUUGGUGUGACGUCGCCUUCAUCGUUCGACCCUCGUACGUUGGAACCCAAAAUCGUGAACACCUAAGACAAGAGGUAGGUACCGUUUGUUGUGUUCUUUACCCUUUGUGAACGUGAAAAACGAAAAACUUGGCUGUAUUUUGGGGAUUUUGUUGGUGGGGACCAAAAACAUUUGAUUAGUCGCGAUUUUAGGCUUUAUUUUGUUCGAUUCUUCUGGGUGGGGACCAAAUUUGAGGUUGCAUGUACCAUUUUGUGAGUGGGGACCAAAUUUAUGGUUUAUUUUGUGAUUGUGACCUAAUUUGGGGUUUAUUUCUUUUUGUUUUGCAGCUAAAUCAUGACUUUCACAUUGGUUGUUCAUCAUAGAGGGGAAUUUGUGCUUGCCCCUCGGGCUGAGUACGUGAAUGAUGUGGUUCAUGCAUUUCCUGGAUUGGACAUCGAUCAUUGGUCUUACUGGGAAUUGUUGGACGUUGUGAAGGGGCUUGAAUAUAUUGGGAUGUUUGAAAUGUGGUGGAAAUAAAAUGAGAAUGAUUUCCGUACUGGAAUGAAAAGGAUUGCAAGUGAUUCUCAAGCCAAAGAGCUUGCUUCAUAUGCUGAAAAGUUUUGUGUGAAGUUUCUGUCUACAUCAAGCAUGAGGUUAUUGUUGAUGCCUCAGUUGUGGAGGAGGUUCUUCCCAUUGAUGCUGCUCCGGUGGAACCAAAUGAGCCUCAUGAUUCUUCCAAUGUUGGUGUUCAAGUGGGUUCUAGUGUUGAUGUGCCUAAGACUGCUUCUGCCAAUGUUGUGCCUGAGAUGGGUUCUGGUGCUGAGGUGCAAGCUAAUGUUCAUCAUGCCACUGCUUUGCCUAAGUCUCAUGGCUAUAAAGUAAAGCAUGUUGCUGCAAAAGAGAAGAAUGCUGCUGGAUUGAAGUCAUCUGUUGAUCACUAAUCUGGGAAAAGGAAGAACAUUGCUACUGGUGUGAAGCAAUCUAUAGUGUUUGCUUCUGGGAAAGGGAAGACCAUUUCCACCAAAGAACUGAGUAAUAACGGGAAGAAAGUACGUGAUGUGGGGGAAAGGGAAGAGCAUUACCACUGAAGAGCUGAGUAAUAAGGGGAAGAAAGUAAGUGAUGUGGGGAAAGGGAAGAAGAUUGCCACUGAAGAACAAUCUGGGAAAGGGAAGAAAGCAAGUGAUGUGAGGAAAGACAGUAAGAGUGUGAAAGACACAUUCUAGAAAGGCAAGGAAAGUUGGUGGAGUAAGGAGGAGUUCAAGGAUAAGGAGUAGUGUUGUGAGAAACACAAGUGAUGUUAAGAGAAAUUAGGAGACUGUUAUAAUUGAAGACAUCAGCAGUGAUGAGCCAUGCAAGGGAGUCCACUUCGAUGAUAGUGAGGUGGAGAGGGAUCUUGGCAUAGAUGAUGGGUUUAACAUGCCUGAGUGGGAUGAUGUUCUUCACAAUAUGUUUCAAACCAGUUUUGGUAUCAAUGUUGAUAUGCUUCAUCCUAAGGGAAUCAACAUAGAGGAACAUGAUUUGGAAGAUGAAUACAGUUCUGAUCAGCUUGAUAGUGCAUCUGAGGAUGAGUCUGAGAAUGAUGAAGACCCUAAACCAAAGAAUUGUGUGUUUCGAGGGGAAGACAUGUGCAAGGAAUUCAAGUUCAAGGUUGGAAGGGAGUUUAUUUCCCUAAAGCAGUUUAAGGAUGCAGUGUUGUAUCAUUCUGUUUUAAAUGGUAGGAAAGUUACAUUUCCAAAGAAUGACAAGAUUAGAGUAAAGGUGGAAUGUACCAGGAACUGCUCGUUUAAGAUGUUCUGGAGUAAAGUGGGAGGCAAGGAAACUUUUAAGACCAAAACCAUAUGUCCUAAACACACUUGUGGGAGGGUUUAUAACAACAAGAAUGAAACUUCUGCAUGGAUUGCAAAGGUGGUUGCAUGGAAGUUUCAGAGUCAUGGAGAUAUUAAAGUUUCUGAGGUUAUGACUAAUUUACAACAGGAGAACUCAGUUGGUGUUACUCAUUGGAGGGCAUGGAAGGGAAGAGUGAUAGCUAAGGAGAUUGUUGAGGGUGAGGCAGCCAAAUAAUACACAAUGUUAUGGGCAUAUAGUGCUGAAUUGAGAAGGGCUAAUGCAAGGAACACAUGCAAAAUUAAUGUGUAUAAGCCUUCAUUACUGGUACAGCCUAGAUUUGAUAAGUUCUACAUGUGUUUAGAUGCAUGUAAGAAGGGGUUUACAAUAUGUAGACAUUUUAUUGGUGUGGAUGACUGUCAUUUGAAAACUAAGUAUGGUGGCUGCUUGUUGAUAGCUAUAGGGAGGGAUCCUAAUGAUCAAUAUUCCCCUUAGCCUUUGGUGCAGUAGAGAGUGAGACAAAGGACAGCUGAGGGUGGUUCUUGGAUCUUCUCCUGAGGAAUAUUGGACAAAAUAGGUGGGUCUUUAUAUAUGACCAGCAAAAGGUAUGUCCUUAUAUCACCCUUUGUUGAUUGUGUUACAAAUAGCCUAUUAGGGUAAUGAUUAAAUUACAUGUUUUAAUGAUGCAUUGCAUGGCCUCAUUCCCACAUUUGAAGAGAUGAUGCUUGGUGAACACAUAUUCUGUGUAAGGCACUUGUAUGCAAACUUCAAGAAGAAGUUUAGUGGAGGGGCUGUAAUCAGAGAUCUCAUGAUGGGUGCUGCAAAAGCAACAUAUGAGAGAGCUUGGGUUGCUAAAAUGGAUCAACUCAAGGCGCUUAAUGAGCCUGCUUACAACUGGUUGAUUGCAAUUCCAAAGAAAAUGUGGUGUAAGCAUGCAAUGAAUUUCUACCCAAGAUGUGAUGUCAUUAUCAACAAUCUAUCUGAGUCAUUCAACAGCACAAUAUUGGUAGCUAGAGAUAAGCCAAUAUUAACAAUGUUUGAGUGGAUAAAGACUUAUCUGAUGACUAGGUUUGCUGUGUUGAAUGAAAAGAUGAUAAAGUGGAAAGGAGAUGUAUGCCCAAAGCCUAGAAUAAGGAUGGACAGGGAGAUCAAGGCUGCUGGUGAUUGGAUUUCUAGAUGGACUGGUCAAGGAAUGUUUGAAGUGCAACAUAUGGAGGGUGGUGAUGGAUUUGUGGUUGACUUGAAUAGGAAUAAAUGUACCUGCAAUUUAUGGGAGCUUGUAGAGAUUCCUUGCAGGCAUGCAUUGGCGGGAGUGCACUAUAGAGGGAAUGACCCUGAGGACUAUGUCCACCAGUGCUAUAAGAGAGAUGCUUAUAAGCUCUGAUAUGGCCAGUCAGUCUCAUCAAUUAAUGGAAUCAACCAAUGGGAACCCUGUCCUGAAACUUUGGAGUUGCUUCCACCAGAAUAUAAAAGGGGACCUGGGAGGCCAAAGAAGCUCAGAAGGAUAGAUCCAAUUGUUGAGGAUGGUGAAACAACAAGGGUGAGCAGAGCCAACACAAGGAUGAAAUUCUCAAGGUGAAAUGAAUAUGACCAUAAUGUGAGGACCUGCAAGAUGCCUCCACCACAAUCAACAACUUAGAUUGUGAUAAUUUUGUAAUGUUUUACCCUUGUUUUAAUGUUGUUGAAGCUUAUGUAAUGAAGAAUCAAAGUUUGGACUUAUCAUCUGUAUACAGGGUGAAGGAUCGGGCACCCAAGCUGCAGCUGGAGAAGGAUCUGGCACACAAACACAACCUGCAUCUUGAUCUGCAGUUCAAGCAUAAACUGGAUCUAGCACCCAAGCUGAACCUGCAUCUGGAUCUGCAGCUCAAACACAAACUAGAUCUAGCACCAAAGCACCCAAGGCUAAGAAUCCUAAGAAGGCAAGGGCACCACAAACUCAACCUGCAAAAAGAGGAAGGCCAAGGAAAACCCCAGUUAAAGCUGUUGCUGGUCAAGGUUGAGGGAAUCAGAGGUCAAGGCCAACCCAAGUUGCUGGUGGGAUUGUGAUUGACAGCCAACACAAUUGAAGACAAUUGAGGACUAGUUAAUGGAUUAGGGUUUUUUGGAAUGUUUAUUCUGAUGGUAGUGGGUGGAGACAUGUUGCACAUGGGAGGCAUAUUUUGGUUCAAGUGAAACAAUGGCACUUGCUACUUUUUGGUGACAAUUUAUGUGAACUUGGUGACUAUUUUAUUUGUCCUUUAUGUUGAAUGCACUUUGUUUGGUGACAAUUUAUGUAAACUUGGUGUGUUGAAAGUGCCUAAUGCACUUUAUUCAAGUUGUCAUCUUCCCAUUAUUUUUAUAUGGUUAUAUUUAUUGGGGUUUUCUUGUU